ACUCAAAUGAAUUGACGGGGGCCCGCACAAGCGGCGGAGCAUGUCGCUUAAUUCGAUGCAACGCGAAGAACCUCACCUGGGUUUGACAUGUAGGGAAAAGCCACAGAGAUGUGGUGUCCUUCGGGGCCCUACGCAGGUGGUGCAUGGCUGUCGUCAGCUCGUGUCGUGAGAUGUUGGGUUAAGUCCCGCAACGAGCGCAACCCUUAUCUUGUGUUGCCAGCGCGUAAUGGCGGGGACUCACAAGAGACUGCCGGGGUCAACUCGGAGGAAGGUGGGGACGAGGUCAAGUCAUCAUGCCCCUUACAUCCAGGGCUGCAGACAUGCUACAAUGGCUGGUACAAAGGGCUGCGAACUCGCGAGGGUAAGCGAAUCCCAUAAAGCCAGUCUCAGUUCGGAUUGAAGUCUGCAACUCGACUUCAUGAAGCUGGAGUCGCUAGUAAUCCCGGAUCAGCAUUGCCGGGGUGAAUACGUUCCCGGGCCUUGCACACACCGCCCGU
rnacentral:rRNA from 1 species